rnacentral:tRNA from 1 species
GAGCCCCUAGUAAACAAUUACAUAGCCCUGUCAGCGCUAAAGAACAGCCUCGCCCCCUGUGCGGCUCU